rnacentral:rRNA from 1 species
UACGUAGGGCGCAAGCGUUGUCCGGAAUUAUUGGGCGUAAAGAGCUCGUAGGCGGUCUGUCGCGUCUGGUGUGAAAUCCCGAGGCUCAACCUCGGGCUUGCAUCGGGUACGGGCGGACUAGAGUGCUGUAGGGGAGACUGGAAUUCCUGGUGUAGCGGUGGAAUGCGCAGAUAUCAGGAGGAACACCAAUUGCGAAGGCAGCUCGCUGGGACGGUACUGACGCUGAGACGCGAAAGCGUGGGGAGCGAACAGG